UGAAGUGCUAUCAUCAUCGUCGUUAAUGAAGUCAUUAUUGGAUCGUGCUCGUGCCCGUGCCCUUAUCGACGAUCCAAUAAUAGAAACAUCCUCAGGUUCAUAGUCGUCUCUUUGUAAUUGUCCUAUGUCAAUCGUAUCAUCUGGCACUAAUAUGUUAUCUGGUGCUUGCAUUUGAUAUGCUUCGUUUUCAAUAAUUGCACGGACUUCAUUCUCAAGAUGUUCAUCGUUCGGGCAUGUGAAAAGUGCAGGAUCAAACAAAUACCUAUGCUGAGCCCUUAUUGCAACUCACCAAGGCUCUUUCAUUUUGUUAUCAUCAAUAUACCACACUAGUCUUGCUUGCUUUGCAAAAAUAUAAGGAUCACUUUCAUACCAUACAUGACCAGUGUGGACACUGACGAGUUGAGGAUCUAUAACAAUUGGUCUGUAUCGUCCUAAGUCAUACCAUCGACACUUGAAUAACACAAUNNN
rnacentral:lncRNA from 1 species